UUUUUUCAUCUCAUUUAUAAUCUGCCUGUCUAGGUACAUCCCAUUGUCUUGCAUAAUGUGGGUGAGAGGUAUUCCUUUCUUCCUGGAUCUUUCUCCAUUUCCUUUCAGAUCCUCUACUUAAAAUGGAAACAGAGGAGGGUUUGAGGCAGGAAUCAAGUUGUGUAACACUAUUUAUGGCUCAUGCUGCUGGAAACAGAUUCACAUCCAUAUUCAUAACUUAGUUAAAGAGCAUGAUGGAGCAGAAUUCUAGCAGAUGUCAGGUGGUUGGAGGCACACUAUGGCAAUCACAUCUGAUGGAAAAUUUUAUGGCUGGGGAUGGAAUAAGGUGGGUUGAUCCUCUUGAGGCCUGAUCAUGGUGGCCCACUCCGGUUUGCAGCAGCUGCAGCGUUUCUUAGUAAAUUAUACAAAGACUAUCUUGGUAUUAUUAGGAGUUAUGGAGGGAGUUGUGGUUCCCAGUCAUUUUCCAUGGUGUCGUUUGUUGAUAAUGUGUUUGAAGCUCAUCAUGUUGUGUGCAUGAUAUCCAAUCUGUCCAUCACAUUCGCCACCACAUUUUCUUCUUAUAUCCCAAAACUCAGGCCCAUUCAAGACUUGGAAUUCAACUACAUUAAUCAUUUUGGUGGUUUAAUC